rnacentral:rRNA from 1 species
UGAGUAACCUGCCCUUAACUCUGGGAUAAGCCUGGGAAACUGGGUCUAAUACCGGGUAUGACUCCUCAUCGCAUGGUGGGGGGUGGAAAGCUUUAUUGUGGUUUUGGAUGGACUCGCGGCCUAUCAGCUUGUUGGUGAGGUAAUGGCUCACCAAGGCGACGACGGGUAGCCGGCCUGAGAGGGCGAUCGGCCACACUGGGACUGAGACACGGCCCAGACUCCGUACGGGAGGCAG